CUGCUUCCAAUCCUCCUCUUUUUUGCUGAGGAAGCCUGGCCCUGAGCUAAUAUCCUUGCCCAGCUUCCUCAACUUUAUACAUGGGACGCCUACCACAGCAUGGCUUGCCAAGCUGUGCCAUGUCCACACCUGGCAUCCGAACUGGCGAAGCCCGGGCCACUGAGAAGCAGAAGAACAGGAGACUGAGCCCUGGAACGUGAAGAUUUUGCCCAAUAUCACACAGCCUGAAAAUGACGAUGAAACUCAAGCAUCCGCCUCCAGAGACUGUGUGAUGACUCUCGACUAUCCAUAGCCCUUCGAGGAGCUCGAUCACUUGUGGGCACACAGCAGGGACCUAAUCAAGAGACACUAGCCCUAACCUUUCUCUGAAGGCAAACCCUCUCCUCAGUGCCCCUGCACACUGAUCCUCUUCCCACAUCUAGGUCUUUGCGAAGAAGGGGCUCCCUGCCUGAAAUACCUUUCCUGUUUCUCUCCUCACCACAAUACCCUCCAUGUUUAUCAAGGCCAGAGGGAAGAUCUACUUCCUCCAGGAAGCCGACAGGGAUCACAACGGGACAAAUGGGUUAAUCUUAAACUCCAAAUAUUCUAUCUGUAGUGAAAGUAUGUUUUUUGUUUUAUUGCCUGCCUAUGUCAUUAAUCACUCCUUCUGGAAAUAACCUCCAAUUUUCUUCUGAGGGAGCCAGCACAUCCAAAUUAUCAGUCCAGGUGAUUUAUCUGAAGCUCAACUCCAACCCCAGGCUCCAAGAAUGAGAUACCACCCAACCUGGGCCAACUACCGUACCUCAGGAUGUUCGUUAAACCUAUGUUGGGAAAUAGACACAAUUUUUAUUCUGGGGUGGACAAGCUGGUAGGGUGUAGACCCUGGAGAUGCCUGUGCCCAUCUUUUCCCUUACUGAGGAGAGACUGGUUAAGAAUCAAGAAUAAAACAAAAGGAGAUAUAUACCCAAUGGCAUUAUUUGAACUCCUUGAUCCAGCCAUAUCUGAAUCAGUUAAGUGUUCUAAUACAUGUAUUCUUUUCUCCUGAAGCCAUUUUGAGUUGAGUUUCUACCACUUGCAACUAAAAGACUCUUAAUGCACACACAUUCUUCAACAUUUUAGCCCUGCAGACUCACCCUUUCGUAAUUUUCUAUUACAAAGAAUGUAUUCUAUUACCCCAGAGAUCUUAUAGGCUCCUUAAGGACAGCAGCAGAUUCCUUUUCUAAGGGACCAAGAACUUAUAAGAGAGUUCAG
rnacentral:lncRNA from 1 species